rnacentral:rRNA from 1 species
GCAUAUCAAUAAGCGGAGGAAAAGAAACCCAACAGGGAUUGCCCUAGUAACGGCGAGUGAAGCGGCAACAGCUCAAAUUUGAAAUCUGGCUUCGGCCCGAGUUGUAAUUUGCAGAGGAAGCUUUAGGCGCGGCACCUUCUGAGUCCCCUGGAACGGGGCGCCAUAGAGGGUGAGAGCCCCGUAUAGUUGGAUGCCUAGCCUGUGUAAAGCUCCUUCGACGAGUCGAGUAGUUUGGGAAUGCUGCUCAAAAUGGGAGGUAAAUUUCUUCUAAAGCUAAAUACCGGCCAGAGACCGAUAGCGCACAAGUAGAGUGAUCGAAAGAUGAAAAGCACUUUGAAAAGAGGGUUAAAUAGCACGUGAAAUUGUUGAAAGGGAAGCGCUUGUGACCAGACUUGCGCCGGGCUGAUCAUCCGGUGUUCUCACCGGUGCACUCUGCCCGGCUCAGGCCAGCAUCGGUUCUCGCGGGGGGAUAAAGGCCCUGGGAAUGUAGCUCCUCCGGGAGUGUUAUAGCCCGGGGUGUAAUGCCCUCGCGGGGACCGAGGUUCGCGCAUCUGCAAGGAUGCUGGCGUAAUGGUCAUCAGCGACCCGUCUUGAAACACGGACCAAGGAGUCAAGGUUUUGCGCGAGUGUUUGGGUGUAAAACCCGCACGCGUAAUGAAAGUGAACGUAGGUGAGAGCUUCGGCGCAUCAUCGACCGAUCCUGAUGUAUUCGGAUGGAUUUGAGUAGGAGCGUUAAGCCUUGGACCCGAAAGAUGGUGAACUAUGCUUGGAUAGGGUGAAGCCAGAGGAAGACUCUGGUGGAGGCUCGCAGCGGUUCUGACGUGCAAAUCGAUCGUCAAAUCUGAGCAUGGGGGCGAAAGACUAAUCGAACCAUCUAGUAGCUGGUUACCGCCG